AUUGAACGCUGGCGGCAUGCCUAACACAUGCAAGUCGAACGGUAGCACAGAGGAGCUUGCUCCUCGGGUGACGAGUGGCGGACGGGUGAGUAAUGUCUGGGAAACUGCCCGAUGGAGGGGGAUAACUACUGGAAACGGUAGCUAAUACCGCAUAAUGUCGCAAGACCAACGAGGGGGACCUUCGGGCCUCUUGCCAUCGGAUGUGCCCAGAUGGGAUUAGCUAGUAGGUGGGGUAACGGCUCACCUAGGCGACGAUCCCUAGCUGGUCUGAGAGGAUGACCAGCCACGCUGGAACUGAGACACGGUCCAGACUCCUACCGGAGGCAGCAGUGGGGAAUAUUGCACAAUGGGCGCAAGCCUGAUGCAGCCAUGCCGCGUGUAUGAAGAAGGCCUUCGGGUUGUAAAGUACUUUCAGCGAGGAGGAAGGUGUUGUGGUUAAUAACCGCAGCAAUUGACGUUACUCGCAGAAGAAGCACCGGCUAACUCCGUGCCAGCAGCCGCGGUAAAAC
rnacentral:rRNA from 1 species